AGAGUUUGAUCCUGGCUCAGGACGAACGCUGGCGGCGCGCCUAACACAUGCAAGUCGAACGGAGCUUAGAGAGCUUGCUUUUUAAGCUUAGUGGCGAACGGGUGAGUAACGCGUGAGUAACCUGCCCUAGAGUGGGGGACAACAGUUGGAAACGACUGCUAAUACCGCAUAAGCCCACGGUAUCGCAUGAUACUGAGGGAAAAGGAUUUAUUCGCUUUAGGAUGGACUCGCGUCCAAUUAGCUAGUUGGUGAGGUAACGGCCCACCAAGGCGACGAUUGGUAGCCGGACUGAGAGGUUGAACGGCCACAUUGGGACUGAGACACGGCCCAGACUCCUACGGGAGGCAGCAGUGGGGGAUAUUGCACAAUGGGGGAAACCCUGAUGCAGCGACGCCGCGUGGAGGAAGAAGGUUUUCGGAUUGUAAACUCCUGUCGUUAGGGACGAUAAUGACGGUACCUAACAAGAAAGCACCGGCUAACUACGUGCCAGCAGCCGCGGUAAAACGUAGGGUGCAAGCGUUGUCCGGAAUUACUGGGUGUAAAGGGAGCGCAGGCGGGAAGACAAGUUGGAAGUGAAAACCAUGGGCUCAACCCAUGAAUUGCUUUCAAAACUGUUUUUCUUGAGUAGUGCAGAGGUAGAUGGAAUUCCCGGUGUAGCGGUGGAAUGCGUAGAUAUCGGGAGGAACACCAGUGGCGAAGGCGGUCUACUGGGCACCAACUGACGCUGAGGCUCGAAAGCAUGGGUAGCAAACAGGAUUAGAUACCCUGGUAGUCCAUGCCGUAAACGAUGAUUACUAGGUGUUGGGGGAUUGACCCCCUCAGUGCCGCAGUUAACACAAUAAGUAAUCCACCUGGGGAGUACGACCGCAAGGUUGAAACUCAA
rnacentral:rRNA from 1 species